GUGCCAGCCGCCGCGGUAAUACGGAGGAUCCAAGCGUUAUCCGGAUUUAUUGGGUUUAAAGGGUGCGUAGGCGGAAGAAUAAGUCAGUGGUGAAAGUUUGCAGCUCAACUGUAAAAUUGCCGUUGAAACUGUUUUUCUUGAGUGUAAAUGAGGUAGGCGGAAUGUGUUGUGUAGCGGUGAAAUGCUUAGAUAUGACACAGAACACCGAUUGCGAAGGCAGCUUACUAAGAUACAACUGACGCUGAGGCACGAAAGCGUGGGGAUCGAACAGGAUUAGAUACCCUGGUAGUCCACGCAGUAAACGAUGAUUACUAGCUGUUUGCGAUAUACUGUAAGUGGCUAAGCGAAAGCGAUAAGUAAUCCACCUGGGGAGUACGUUCGCAAGAAUGAAACUCAAAGGAAUUGACGG
rnacentral:rRNA from 1 species